rnacentral:rRNA from 1 species
AAGAGGGAAACAACCCAGACCGCCAGCUAAGGUCCCAAAGUCAUGGUUAAGUGGGAAACGAUGUGGGAAGGCCCAGACAGCCAGGAUGUUGGCUUAGAAGCAGCCAUCAUUUAAAGAAAGCGUAAUAGCUCACUGGUCGAGUCGGCCUGCGCGGAAGAUGUAACGGGGCUAAACCAUGCACCGAAGCUGCGGCAGCGACACUAUGUGUUGUUGGGUAGGGGAGCG